UAUUAAAAAAUUUCAUCCGGUUGUAUUAUUAAAAAUUGGGAUAGUUGAUGGAAUAACCAGAUAGUGACACAUGGUGUGCCACGUAUACAUCAUGUUGACGUAUCGACUUUUAAUAGUGAAAAUGGAUGGAAUUUUUAAUA
rnacentral:pre_miRNA from 1 species